UCGCUUUGGGAGGAGCUCGCUUACUAUCAGCUUGUUGGUAGGGUAACGGCCUACCAAGGCUAUGACGGUUAGGGGGUGUGAGAGCAUGACCCCCAGCAUUGGCACUGAAACACUGGCCAAACACCUACGGGUGGCUGCAGUCGAGAAUCUUCCACAAUGGGGGAAACCCUGAUGGAGCGAUGCUGCGUGCGGGAUGAAGGCCUUCGGGUUGUAAACCGCUUUUGUAGGGGACGAAAUUUUUGACGGUACCCUUUCGAAUAAGAGGUUGCUAACUCUGUGCCAGCAGCAGCGGUAAUACAGAGACCUCAAGCGUUAUCCGGAUUUACUGGGCGUAAAGCGUCUGUAGGGGGUUUAUUAAGUUCCAAGUAAAAUUUCAAGGCUCAACUUUGAAUUCGCUUGGAAAACUAAUAAACUGGAGUCUAGCAGAGGUGCAUGGAACUUGUGGUGUAGGAGUGAAAUCCGUUGAUAUCACAAGGAACACCAAAGGCGAAGGCAUUGCACUGGGCUAGCACUGACCCUGAGAGACGAAAGCGUGGGGAGCAAAACGGAUUAGAUACCCGUGUAGUCCACGCCCUAAACGAUGAAUGCUAAAUGUUCGGGGAUUCGACCCCCUGGGUGUUACAGCUAACGCGUUAAGCAUUCCGCCUGGGAAGUACGGCCGCAAGGCUAAAACUCAAAGGAAUAGACGGGGAUCCGCACAAGCGGUGGAGCGUCUGGUUUAAUUCGACAGUAAGCGUGGUACCUCACCAGGGUUUGACAUCCCUUGACAGCCUUGGAAACAAGGUUUCCUUCGGGCAAGGUGACAGGUGCUGCAUGGUCGUCGUCAGUUCGUGCCGUGAGGUGUUCCGUUAAGUCGGGAAACGAACGAAACCCCUAUUGCAUGUUACAAUUUCUCAUGCAAGACUGCCCGGAUAUACUGGGAGGAAGGUGGGGAUGACGUCAGAUCUGCAUGGUCCUUAUACCCUGGGCGACACAGGCGCUACAAUGGCAGAGACAAAGGGUUGCAAAACCGCAAGGUGAAGCUAAUCCCAAAAACUUUGUCUAAGUUCGGAUUGAAGGCUGCAAUUCGCCUUCAUGAAGCUGGAAUCGCUAGUAAUCGUGAAUCAGCCACGUCACGGUGAAUAUGUUCCCGGAUCUUGUACUCACCGCCCGUCACACCAAGAGAGUUGGUAGCUCCCGAAGCGUCCCGUUUUAGCGGGGC
rnacentral:rRNA from 1 species